rnacentral:rRNA from 1 species
GACGAACGCUGGCGGCGUGCUUAACACAUGCAAGUCGAACGGAAAGGCCUCUUUCGGGGGGUACUCGAGUGGCGAACGGGUGAGUAACACGUGAGUAACCUGCCCUUGACUUUGGGAUAACUUCAGGAAACUGGGGCUAAUACCGGAUAGGAGCUCCUGCUGCAUGGUGGGGGUUGGAAAGUUUCGGCGGUUGGGGAUGGACUCGCGGCUUAUCAGCUUGUUGGUGGGGUAGUGGCUUACCAAGGCUUUGACGGGUAGCCGGCCUGAGAGGGUGACCGGCCACAUUGGGACUGAGAUACGGCCCAGGCUCCUACGGGAGGCAGCAGUGGGGAAUAUUGCACAAUGGGUGGAAGCCUGAUGCAGCAACGCCGUGUGCGGGAUGACGGCCUUCGGGUUGUAAACCGCUUUCGCUCAUGACGAAGCUUUGUGUGACGGUAGUGGGUAAAGAAGCACCGGCUAACUACGUG